CCUACGGGUGGCAGCAGUCGAGAAUCAUUCACAAUGGGGGAAACCCUGAUGGUGCGACGCCGCGUGGGGGAAUGAAGGUCUUCGGAUUGUAAACCCCUGUCAUGUGGGAGCAAAUUAAAAAGAUAGUACCACAAGAGGAAGAGACGGCUAACUCUGUGCCAGCAGCCGCGGUAAUACAGAGGUCUCAAGCGUUGUUCGGAAUCACUGGGCGGAAAGCGUGCGUAGGCUGUUUCGUAAGUCGUGUGUGAAAGGCGCGGGCUCAACCCGCGGACGGCACAUGAUACCGCGAGACUAGAGUAAUGGAGGGGGAACCGGAAUUCUCGGUGUAGCAGUGAAAUGCGUAGAUAUCGAGAGGAACACUCGUGGCGAAGGCGGGUUCCUGGACAUUAACUGACGCUGAGGCACGAAGGCCAGGGGAGCGAAAGGGAUUAGAUACCCGUGUAGUC
rnacentral:rRNA from 1 species